rnacentral:rRNA from 1 species
UACGUAGGGUGCAAGCGUUGUCCGGAAUUAUUGGGCGUAAAGAGCUUGUAGGCGGUUUGUCGCGUCUGCGUGUGAAAUUUCGGGGCUCAACCCCGAACUUGCAGUGGGUACGGGCAGACUAGAGUGUGGUAGGGGAGACUGGAAUUCCUGGUGUAGCGGUGAAAUGCGCAGAUAUCAGGAGGAACACCGGUGGCGAAGGCGGGACUCUGGGCCGAUACUGACGCUGAGGAGCGAAAGCGUGGGGAGCAAACAGG